CUGGCUAGCUGAAAAGGGUCACAUAGACAUAGUCCAGCUGGCUGGACAAAAAUGCACAUCGCUCUCAGCUUAUCUGAAGUAAAGCAAAAUACAUUGUCUUUGGCUGUCCUUGUUACACAAUAACAGGAAGAUUUUGGUGGGAAAAGAAUGUUGCAGGUGGGAACAGAAAACUACAGAAGAGAAACUAGGGGCGGGCUUGGUAUUUAGGCAACUAACCAAUAAUGAGCUUAACUUUUGUAAUAUGUAUGAGCUAAUUAUAACAAGGCAUAAAAGGUGACUGUAAGGGACAAUAAACGAAGUCUGCUGAUCACUCAUAUUGAGUGACUGUGUCUUCCCUCCGUCGCAAGAAAUGGCGCCCGAACAGGGACCCUAGAGAGGGCUGAACCUGCGAGCCACGGUUCGACGGAUAUUCGGGUACCGGUCCUGAAAGCAGCGCAGGAGGCGGAAGGGCACAGUCCCCGCGCCCGGGAGCACCUACAGAGGGUCCCGCCGGCCACGCGUCGCCGAAGUCUCGCAAAGGCUGCAACAGCGCUGACGAAGGUAUGGAGAGACAAGCGACGUAUGAUUCGCUCAUAUGCUUUUUAGAAAAGCGGAGCGUUCAGGACAUAGAUUGUAAAAAGGAAUUACCCGGGUUAUUAGCGUAUGGGAUAGCAUCCGGGACCCCCGCGGCAACGGCGAGCGGCGGCGCGCGGCCCGGCAGGCCCCUUCCCGGCCGCGGUUUCUCUCCAAGGCGGCACCCACCCCCUCCGAUCGGUGCCAUGGCGAUGCAAGCGGCCAAGCGAGCUAACAUCAGGCUGCCCCCAGAGGUCAAUCGUAUCCUCUAUAUUCGGAACCUGCCGUAUAAAAUCACAGCGGAGGAAAUGUAUGAUAUUUUUGGGAAAUACGGACCUAUUCGACAAAUCAGAGUUGGAGACACUCCUGAAACAAGAGGAACAGCUUAAGCUUCUCAAGGAAAAAUACAGACUUGAUUACAAUCCCACCAAAAAAAAAAAAAAAAAAAAAAAAAAAAAAGUGCUUCAGAUGUCACCUACAAGAAAUGGGUUCCUGCCUUGAACUAGCAAACAUUUCUGUGUUUAAAAAGAAGCCUUUUUGCCUUGAUGGAGAUAAUUUAUUCUGUAUUUAUGCUGUAUUCUGAAUGUGGAAGUUGGUUGGGACUAGGAGGCUGUCUUAAAGGCAUUUUGCAAACGGGAUUAUUAUUUUUGAUCAUUAUUGUAAUAAUAGUUUUUUAAUCAAAACCAGCCAAAAUUAUUUGUAAGCAUUAGGCAUAUCUGAAGAGAAUGCCUUUAUUUGAAUCAGCAGUUAAGGUGUAGUUUAGUCUGAUGCUGUGGUUUUAUCUGCUUCUGGUGAAUUUUUGAAGUGAUGAAAUCAGAGACACAAGGUAUACUAAGAGUUAUGAGGUAAUAAGGUAAUAAUCUAAGUAAGAUUGCUGUCUUUUAUAUCUACAAGUGCAAUAUGCUUUUACGUAGCAGAGAGAAACUUUAACAAUAAUGUUGCUUGAGCGAGAUGUGCAUGUGACAACUUGGGAAAAGGGAUAUCACAGCUGGAGUGCAACAGUGUUUCUAUGUCUGGCAGAGUGAAAUCUUUCAAGACCUGAGUUUAGACAGUCUAAAAUAAAUUGUUAGUAUUCAGAAAACCCAUCUUAAGCCUCUUUUGCUUACAUAGUGUUAUGGAAGUCAACUGCUAUUGUAGAUAAUUAAUGAUUUUUAAUACAUAUUAACAAAUACUACUAUUUUAACUUGAGGCAGUUGAGUGAGAAAUACUCACGUGUAGCAUUUGAGGGAAUGUCAGCAUAAAUCGCACUUACAGUAAGACUGCAUUUUUAAUUACCGUACUCGUUAAGAUUCGAUGAUGCCAUAAGGCUAAGGCCUUUUAUCACAGAUUGGUUCUGAACUAAAAGGUGUGUGCACAUGUAGAUAUGCACAUUUGUGUUAUUUUCCUUAAUUGGCUACAAAAUAAUAUAAUUAGGUUGGGGACUAGAUCUUGGGAAUUUGUCUAUUAUACUUCUGUUUGUUAAGGAACGUGCAUAACACACAGCACCCAUGUAGGCUUGGCUUGUGGCAUAGUUGUCAAAUUUAGCAUAGACAUUCAGACAGAUAAGCAACGUACUCUUCUUGUGUGUAUCACCUACAAGCCAUUAUGGCUUAGUGUGUAAAUCUGUAUGUAACUAUUGAAAAAUCCACUUAUGAAUGUAUAUAGCUUAGAACUAAUUUCUUCCCUUUGUUAAUUCUUUGAUAUCAAUGAGGUUUUCUUCAGAAAAUGUAUGGACUGGUUGGUUGCAUAAGGGCAGUUGUUAUUUGGACAGAAAAUUGUUAAUGGUCAGGGAUUUUCCACUAAAAUAUUUGCAAAUAUUCCUAGUCAAACAUCAGUUUGGUUUCUUUUUGGGGUUUGAGCUUGCAUUAGUCCAUGUUCAGAACUUUAAAAUAACCUUUGAAUUUUUAAAACUUUUUAUAUUACUGGAACAGAAAGAGCAACUAAAUUAAAGCUUCAAGCUAACUUUAUUUUUCAAGUAUUUCAGGAAUUAUACUUCUGAACUGAGAUUUUAUAAGUUGGCUGUGUAUUUUCCUGUGUUAAAACGCUGUUAUUGAAAAUGGUCAACCAAGCCUAUGUCGCCCAAAAUAAAAACGGGGGAAUUGUGGAUAACUGGCUAGCUGAAAAGGGUCACAUAGACAUAGUCCAGCUGGCUGGACAAAAAUGCACAUCGCUCUCAGCUUAUCUGAAGUAAAGCAAAA